CUUUGUUCUAAGUCUGGCGGGUGCCUCCUGGGCUGCCUCUGCCUGCCCCACCUUCCCCUCCAGCCCCUAGCCUCAGCCUGCGUGCACCAGCAGAUUCUGGCUCCCUAAUUGUAAGUCACCAUAGUGGUUUAUCAACCCCUACUGCGGUUGACACCAUCAGUCAUCUGGACAGUGUGGAUCUACUUUAGAACUCGGCUCAGGGUGCUUGAACGACACAGAUCCCAGGACGCUGAGUUAGUAACCAGAUCCAUAGCAAAAGCUCUGAACAGAGACACUCGGUUUCCACGAAGGUUAGCCUGAAAUACCUGGUAGGCCAGACCUUCAAGACAUCAAAUCCACUCUCUGGUGAAGAGAGGGAGCCGGGGUUCCUUGGGAGGUGGGAUGCACUCUUCAUCGGUCACCACAAAACAAACAUCUUGAGGAAUUCAGUCGUUUCUAUCCUAACAACAAACCAAUGUUUGAUUCCAUCAAAGUUCCCCUUCAGGAAACUGAUGGUUCAAAGCCCAUGAUUUGAGAAGCAGACAGGCUGCACUCAGCAUCUUUUACCAAUCAUACCUGAGAUGGAG
rnacentral:lncRNA from 1 species